UUCACUCUUCACGCCGUCACCUACCUUUCUUCUCAGACUUCUCUUCUCUUCUGAAACUCCCACGCCUAGUCUCACCUCACGCCAAGUCGCCCAUUUCUCUUCUCUUCUUCUUUCCUUCUUUCUUCUUCUCUUUUGAAUCUCUGAUCCACGCCUGUUGCCCAGUGCCAAUGUCGCACACGACGCCAUCACCGACUUGCCCAGUGCCUACGAUUCUCUCAAUCUCUUAUUUUCUUCAUCUUUCCUUCUUUUCUCUUCUGAUCCACUUCUUGUGCUUCUUCUCUUCUAAUCCACACCCACUCCCCAGUGUCUCGGUCUCUCUCUUUCAACGCACAAUGAAAGGCAGAAGACUCUGUCAAACCUUUGCAAAUUUUUAUAGAUUUGUUUGCAGAUUUCGAUUAGUAUUUUGAAAAUUCUGUGAAUGGGUUUUAUGUGAUUUUACUUUAACAUAUUUUCUCUUUGUGUUUUUCUUUAGCGGCGUAGCUACGUUCUAGUGGACAACUAGCCUAGUUGGUCUACCAUAUUUGCUGCGAGAAUUUCUUGGUUAUGAAGAAGAAGAAUAUCAGGACUAUCCCGACUCAUAGAUGGUCCCUGGUUCAGUCUUUUUGCAAGGCUGGAUAGCCUUUCUUUUUGGGACUACCCUGUUGUAGUUCACCCUACCUAGCUCAAGACAUUACUUAUGAUCCUUCAGUUAUAUGUAAAUAUUUGGCUUGUAUGAUUAUCUUGCCCUGUGAGACAUGACUGUUAUUACUGUUUGUAUUAUUAUACUUACUGGCUUAUUAUAUAUUUUGAGGUAUUUCAGUAAUA